AGGCUGGGUUAAUGGUUACUGUGUAGCUGUGAGGUGCUAUAUUGUCUCACCCCCUGCCCAUAGCAAUUGUUUCCCACAAUCUCUGUCUGGCUCAAUUCUGUAGUAAGACAGGGACGCUUGGUCUCAAACAU
ensembl:snoRNA SNORA63 Small nucleolar RNA SNORA63